AUUUCCGUUUAUCCUGCGGACGAUCGCCGCUAUUAGGAUCCGAUUUAGCCAUGCAAGUUUUCCGCAAGGAAGCGAACUGCUCAGUAACAUAUCGAUAAUCUACCUUCAGGUUUGGGAUACCCUCGCGAAAGUGAGGCUAAACCCGGAUAAUGGAUUGAGGCUGGAACGCGCUUUCCAUCAAAAGCAAUGCCUGAAGAUGAGUCGAUAUCCGAUUAGGUUGUUGGUGGGGUAAUGGCCCACCAAGCCUGGGAUUGGUAAGGGCGUUGAGAGACGUAACCCUGAGAAGGGCACUGAGACACUGGCCCUAGCCCUACGGGGUGCAGCAGGCGCGAAACCUUUACACUACGCGCAAGCGUGAUAAGGGGAUCCUAAGUGCUCAUGCACUGCAUGGGCUUUUGCCAACGGUAAAUACGUUGGCGAAUAAGUGGUGGACAAGACUGGUGCCAGCCGCCGCGGUAACCCCAGCGCCACAAGUGGGGAUCGUAUUUAUUUGGCCUAAAGCGUCCGUAGCCGGACUAUCGAAUCUCUUGUGAAAUCGUUAAGCUUAACUUAACGGCGUGCAGGAGACACUAGUAGUCUAGGGACUGGGAGGUGUCAGAUGUAUGCUAAGGGGAGCAGUAAAAUGCUAUAAUCCUCAGUAGACAACCGGUGGCGAAGGCGUCUGACAAGAACAGGUCCGACGGUCAGGGACGAAAGCUAGGGGAGCAAAUUAGGAGACACUACGUCUUCUAAGCUAAGUCCGGAUUAGAUACCCGAGUAGUCCUAGCUGUAAACGCUGCGAGCAAGGUGUUGCAUAUUCUUCGUGGAUAUGCAGUGUCGAAGAGAAGUCGUUAAGCUCGCUGCCUGGGGAGUAUGGUCGCAAGACUGAAACUUAAAGGAAUUGGCGGGGGAGUACUACAAGGGGUGCGGCGUGCGGUUUAAUUUAAUUCAACGCAGCGAAUCUCACCAGGGGCGACGGCAGAAUGAAGGCCAGACUGAAGGUCUUGCCAGACAAGCCGAGAGAUGGUGCAUGGCCACCGGCAGCUCGUGCCGUGAGGUGUCGUGUUAAGUCACGCAACGAGCGAGACCUGCACACACAAUUGCUAACGGACUCUGAGACCGAGCACAUUGUGUGAACUGCCUUCGUAAGGAGGAGGAAGGCGCAGGCCACGGUAAGUCCGUACGCCUCGAAUCUCCUGGGCUACACGCGCGCAACAACGGCAGGAACAAUGGGAUGCAACACCGAAAGGUGAAGCUAACCCUCUAAAUCCUGUCCAAGUCCAGAUCGAGGGCUGUAACUCGCCCUCGUGACGAUGGAAUCCCUAGUAAUCAGACGUCAACAUCGUCUGGUGAACAUGUCCCUGCUCCUUGCACACACCGAAACAAUGUGCCAAGCAGCUAACAAAGCUAGAUGGUGAUGUCAAAAAUAGGAUUUUUGAUCAUGAUCAGAAAUCUUUGAUUUCUGACAAAAUCCAUCCUAGUAGUCAAAAAGGCAGGCGUUAUGGUAACAGAAGCGCUGAAGGGCUUGAGACAAAACACAGCCUGUCAUCCUGUAAAGGAUGAACGAAGCAUGAUGACGUCCACUCGGGUCGGUGGUGGACGGAAAUCUGAUAAAAACUUCAACAGGAUGUGUGAAACAGUUUUGUUAGUAACCUUGGGAGAUCCUACAAGUGUAGGAAGUCAGCGUGUUUCAUAGUAACUGCUAAAACAGUGAAGGGAACACACCGCAACGAUUAGAAUAAAUGUUGUGGGCUCGCCGUAUACGGGAAAUCCGUACGUACGGUGGGAACGCGAAGUACCUGAAAAGGGAAAAACGCAAUGCCCGUCAAGCCACUCGAGCAGGGUCUAGAUGAGCCUCAGCUUUUUGGCUGCUGCGAAUCUAGGCUCAGUGAGAUGGGCUAAGUCGUCACAAGGUAACCGUAGGGGAACCUGCGGUUGGAUCACCUCCUU
rnacentral:rRNA from 1 species